rnacentral:rRNA from 1 species
UAAGGUAGGGUCAGCGAUUGGGGUGAAGUCGUAACAAGGUAGCCGUAGGAGAACCUGCGGCUGGAUCACCUCCUUU